CAGGACCAGUCCAAGUCCAGGGGUGCCGUUCCCACUGAACAAGGUGAAAUUUUAAACAAAUAGUCGACAGAACAAAAAUCAGAUAAAAACAACAAAAGAAAACUACAAAAAAGGAUGCGACAGACAUGGCCAGAUGUGACCAGGAGGGCAGUACACAAGUGGCUGGAGUAGGAGCUGAGACAUCAGGUGGGCGAGCACAGUGGGUAUUUGGAGGUCACCAGGAUUUCAGGCCACGUUUCUGUUACUGCAGAGAUGAGCUACCCUCUGUGACACUCUUCACCAGCCAAGAAAGGAACUCGCUGUAGGCUGCAGGACAAUUUCCAAGGCUCUGGUUUCCUUUUACUCCGUCAUAAUUUAAACCUCUCUUUAGACACAAAGUCCACAGUGGACAAUGGGAAUAUCCUAGGAGCAUUACCUGGCUGGUAACUGGGACUCGCAGCCGGCAGUGAAAGCCUGCGUCCAGAUGGUUGGGGGGCCAUGGGGAGACCAGGGUGAGCUCCUGCACAUGGCUGAGCCCCUCCCUCUCAAGAGAGCUUCAAGCCAAGCCAAGUGCACUCAGCAUGUGUCGAGAGUCUUCUAAG